AAUAAGGUAUCUAGUGAAUGCCUCGGUAUUAGAUCAUAAAGGACGUUAUACCUUGCGAAAAGUCAUGGGGAGAAAGGUUCAAAUUCUGUGAUCCAUGAAUAUCCUAUGGGGAAACUCUACCUAAGAUCAAAUCUUAUCUUUUCAUUAAAAGAUAAGAGAUAUACUUGGUGAACUGAAACAUCUAAGUAACCAAAGGAAAAGAAAUCAAAAGAGAUUCCGUUAUUAUUAGCGGCGAGCGAAUGCGGAAUAGGCCAAAAGAUGUAUUUCAAAUUAAUUUCAUUGUUUAGAAAAAGACUGGAAGGUCUUACCAAAGAAGGUGAUAGUCCUGUAUAACAUAUUAUUUGAAAUUCAUUUCAUGAUUAUUUAAUCUGAAUAGGACGGGACACGUGAAAUCUUGUCUGAACAUGGGGGGACCACCCUCUAAGCCUAAAUAUUAUCUAAUAACCGAUAGUGUACAAGUACCGUGAGGGAAAGGUGAAAAGAAACCUGAAUAAGGUAGUGAAAAGAACCUGAAACUGGAUACUCUCAAGCAGUCGAAGUAUAUUAAAAUUGGAUGUUUUUAUGUUCAAGAUGUAUAACGGCGUACCUUUUGUAUAAUGGGUCAGCGAGUUAACAUAUGCAGCAAGCUUAUAUUUUAUGUAGGCGUAGUGAAAACAAGUUUGAAAAAAAGCGUUAAGUUGUCUAUGUUAGACCCGAAACUGAGUGAUCUAUCUAUGAGCAGGUUGAAGGUGUGGUAAUACACACUGGAGGACCGAACUCACGUAUGUGGAAAAAUACGGAGAUGACUUGUGGAUAGGGGUGAAAGGCUAAUCAAACUCAGAGAUAGCUGGUUUUCCGCGAAAUCUAUUUAGGUAGAGCGCUAGACAAAUCAAAAAUGAUUAGGGGUAGAGCACUCAAUGGGCUAGGGGGGCGUAAAGUUACUUCAAACCCAAGGAAACUCCGAAUACUAAUCUUUUUUAUCUAGUAGACAGACCACGGGUGAUAAGAUCCGUCGUCGAGAGGGAAACAGCCCAGAUCGUAAGCUAAGGUCCUUAAGUAAUUGCUAAGUGGGAAAGGAUGUAAGAAGGCAAAGACAACCAGGAGGUGGGCUUGGAAGCAGCCAUCCUUUAAAGAAAGCGUAACAGCUCACUGGUCGAAUCAAAUUUUUUUUGAGCCUUCUUGCGCCGAAAAUGUAUCGGGGCUGUUUGAAUAUGGUGAAUAAACCUUAUUCAAAUAAGCAAUUCACCGAAGCUACGAAUGUUUGUAAUUGACUACAUGGUAGCGGAACUUUCUGUAAGUCGUUGAAGGAAAUACGUAAGCAUUUCUGGAGAGAUCAGAAGUGAGAAUGCUGACAUGAGUAGCGAUAAACAAUGUUAAAAUCAUUGUCGCCGAAAGUUCAAGGUUUUCUGCGCAAGGUUCAUCCACGCAGAGUUAAAUCGGUCCCUAAUAUGAAGACGACAGUCUAAGUAGAUGGGUUUUAUUUAUGAUGACGAAUUAUUGUAGUACAUCCAUUGUUAGUGGAUUCUAGUGGAUUCAUUACAUAAUUCCAGGAAAUAGUCAUAAAUCUAUCUAUACCGUACCCCAAACCGACACAGGUGAACUGGUUGAAUAUACUAAGGCGAUUGAGACAACAAUCUUGAAGGAACUCGGCAAAAUGACUCCGUAACUUCGGGAGAAGGAGUGCUUUUUCAGAUAGAUUUAUGUAUUUACUACAUUUUAUCUGAAAAAGUGUCACAAAAUCAGGGGUAGCGACUGUUUAAUAAAAACACAGGACUCUGCUAAAUCGUAAGAUGAUGUAUAGGGUCUGACACCUGCCCGGUGCUGGAAGGUAAAGGUGAUUUGUUUUUAAGCAAUGAUCUUAAGCCCCAGUAAACGGCAGCCGUAACCAUAACGGUUCUAAGGUAGCGAAAUUCCUUGUCGGGUAAGUUCCGACCUGCACGAAUGGUGUAACGACUUCCCUACUGUCUCCAAGAUUGACUCAGCGAAAUUGAAUUCUCCGUGAAGAUGCGGAGUACCUGCGGCUAGACGGAAAGACCCCGUGCACCUUUACUACAUCUUUACAGUGCUUAAGGGAGAUCAAUGUGUAGAAUAGAUGGGAGCUUAUGACACCUUGGCGCAAGCCAAUUGUAGAGGCAACAAUGAAAUACCAUCCUUUGAUCUUUUUACUGCUAACUACCUUUUAAGGGGAGGACAUUGUAUGGUUGGUAGUUUGACUGGGGCGGUCACCUCCCAAAAAGUAACGGAGGCGCGCUAAGGUAGGCUCAAGUUGGUCGGAAAUCAACUGUAGAGUGUAAUGGCAUAAGCCUGCCUGACUGUAACACAUACAAGUGGAGCAGAGACCUUUUUAAGUCGGUCAUAGUGAUCCGGUGGUGCUGUGUGGAAAGACCAUCGCUCAACGGAUAAAAGGUACGCCGGGGAUAACAGGCUGAUGACUCCCAAGAGCUCUUAUCGACGGAGUCGUUUGGCACCUCAAAUCGGGGCUUUUUCAUGGAAACAUGAAAAUUUGCAUCUGGCUAUAUGCUGGAACAUCCGGUGUAUCCAGAAAGCUUAAUCUUUUCCUAAUAUCAAUCACAUUCUAUCUAUAUCAGAUAGACCUCUGAUAUACCUCUUUGUUUUUGUGUUUGAAUAGGAAUUAUUUUUGUGAACUUUUCUGGUGCGGAUAAUCAGCAGGGAAGUCCAAUAUUUCACUCGUAUUGUGAAAGAUGACCCCUCAACGACUACACGCCAGACAUCCUAUUUGUAUCAUCUAGUGAUGAUACAAGAUGAUUAUAAGAUCAUCAAAGGAUGAUGAUAUAGUCUGAACUUUCAGGCGACUGAAAGGUUGCUAUUGCAACGU
rnacentral:rRNA from 1 species